GCUGGGCACAGUGGUGCCUGCCUGUAGUCCCAGCUACUCCAGAGGCUAAGGUGAGAGGACCGCUUGAGCACAAGAGAUCUGGGCCAUAGUGCUCUAAACCGAUCAGGUGUCUGCACUAAGUUUGGCAUCCAUAUGGUGACCUCCCUGGAGCAGAGAACCACCAGGUUGCCUAAGUACGGGUGAACAUGCCCAGGCUGGAAAUGAAGCAGGUCAAAACUUGUUACACCAGCCUGGGUGCAGUGGCUCACGCCUGUAAUCCCAGCACUUUGGGAGGCCAAGGUGGGGAGAUCACUUGAGGUCAGGAGUUCAAGAUCAGCCUGGCCAACAUGGCAAAACCCCAUCUCUA
ensembl:misc_RNA Metazoa_SRP Metazoan signal recognition particle RNA